UACGGAGGGGGCUAGCGUUGUUCGGAAUUACUGGGCGUAAAGCGUACGUAGGCGGCUUUGUAAGUUAGAGGUGAAAGCCCGGAGCUCAACUCCGGAAUUGCCUUUAAGACUGCAUCGCUUGAAUCAUGGAGAGGUUAGUGGAAUUCCGAGUGUAGAGGUGAAAUUCGUAGAUAUUCGGAGGAACACCAGUGGCGAAGGCGGCUCACUGGUCCGGUACUGACGCUGAGGUGCGAAAGCGUGGGAAGCAAACAGG
rnacentral:rRNA from 1 species